UACGGAGGGUGCAAGCGUUAAUCGGAAUUACUGGGCAUAAAGCGCACGUAGGCGGCCAACUAAGUCGGGUGUGAAAGCCCCCGGCUCAACCGAGGAAUUGCUCCCGAUACUGGUUGGCUUGAGGAUGGUAGGGGUGAGUGGAACUCCAGGUGGAGCGGUGAAAUGCGUAGAUAUCUGGAGGAACACCGGUGGUGAAAGCGGCUCACUGGACCAUCACUGACGCUGAGGUGCGAAAGCCAGGGUAGCGAACGGG
rnacentral:misc_RNA from 1 species